rnacentral:rRNA from 1 species
UGACUGAGCGGCGGACGGGUGAGUAACGCGUGGGUGACCUGCCCCAUACCGGGGGAUAACAGCUGGAAACGGCUGCUAAUACCGCAUAAGCGCACAGAGCUGCAUGGCUCGGUGUGAAAAACUCCGGUGGUAUGGGAUGGGCCCGCGUCUGAUUAGGCAGUUGGCGGGGUAACGGCCCACCAAACCGACGAUCAGUAGCCGGCCUGAGAGGGCGACCGGCCACAUUGGGACUGAGACACGGCCCAAACUCC